rnacentral:tRNA from 1 species
GCGCAGGUGACGGAAUUGGUAGACGGCUGGCGUUGAGUUCGCCAGGUCCCGCUGGGGGCGUGAGGGUUCGAGUCCCUCCCUGCGCA